CUCACGGGCCGAAUGAACUAGCCCUGAAAAUGGAUGGCGCUCAAGCGUGUUACCCAUACCCCGCCGCCGGGGCAAAAUUUACGCCCCGGCGAGUAGGCAGGCGUGGAGGCUCGUGACGAAGCCUUGGGGGUGACCCCGGGUAGAACGGCCUCUAGUGCAGAUCUUGGUGGUAGUAGCAAAUACUCAAAUGAGAACUUUGAGGACUGAAGUGGGGAAAGGUUCCGUGUGAACAGCAGUUGGACAUGGG
rnacentral:rRNA from 13 species